AUGCUCUGGGCUCCCCUCGUUGUGGUGCUCCUGGGGGUGUGGUGCACAGGUUCCAGCUCCCAGUCUGUGGUGACGCAGCCGCCCACAGAGUCAGUGUCCCCAGGAAACACUGUGAAACUCUCCUGCACCAUGAGCAGUGGGACCAGCAUCAGUGGCUACUAUGCGUACUGGUACCAGCAGAAACCUGGGACCCCCGCUCGGCACCUGCUGAGAUACAAGUCGGAUUCUGAGAAGCACCAGGGCUCCGGGGUCCCCGCUCGCUUCUCUGGCUCCAAAGACACAUCCAGUAACACUGCCUACCUGACCAUCGCCGGUGCCCUUGCGGAGGACGAGGCUGACUAUUACUGUGCUGUGUGGCACAGUAGUGUUUGUCACAGUGAUAUAGUGAGAGGGGAAGUGAGACAAAAACCUCCUCUGCUCUGCCCAGCCGGGGCUUUGUGA